AACGAACGCUGGCGGCAUGCCUAACACAUGCAAGUCGAACGAGACCUUCGGGUCUAGUUGCGCACGGGUGCGUAACGCGUGGGAACCUGCCCUUAGGUUCGGAAUAACUCCCCGAAAGGGGUGCUAAUACCGGAUAAUGUCUUCGGACCAAAGAUUUAUCGCCUUUGGAUGGGCCCGCGUUGGAUUAGCUAGUUGGUAGGGUAAAAGCCUACCAAGGCUACUAUCCAUAGCUGGUCUGAGAGGAUGAUCAGCCACACUGGGACUGAGACACGGCCCAGACUCCUACGGGAGGCAGCAGUGGGGAAUAUUGGACAAUGGGCGAAAGCCUGAUCCAGCAAUGACGCGUGAGUGAUGAAGGCCUUAGGGUUGUAAAGCUCUUUUAACCGGGAUGAUAAUGACAGUACCGGGAGAAUAAGCUCCGGCUAACUCCGUG
rnacentral:rRNA from 1 species